GAGACUUCUAUUCGGUUGUGAACUCUGUUCGGCAGCCUCAGGCCUGCGGUCUUGAGACCGAGCACGAUGCCUACGAUAAAGUUGCAGAGUUCUGAUGGAGAGAUAUUUGAAGUUGAUGUAGAAAUUGCCAAACAAUCUGUGACCAUUAAGACCAUGCUGGAAGAUUUGGGAAUGGAUGAUGAGGGAGAUGAUGAUCCUGUUCCUUUACCAAAUGUUAAUGCAGCAAUUCUAAAAAAGGUAAGUGAUUAUCUUGUUUUUCUUA
rnacentral:lncRNA from 1 species